GAAUAGAAAUAAUUUGUUUACAUGUUAAUUGCCUUUAUUUUAUUUGUAAUUGAAUUGAAUUUCUCAUUUCUAAAAUAAUUUCCAGAACAAAAUUACCAAACAAUUUUUCUUUGAUUUCCUUCUCAAAAUCAUUAAUUAGUAAAAAAAAAAAAAACCAGUUAAACAAGUCCAAAGUCUCUUCCUGCUUCUCCUAUGGAUUCAGGUGAAGGGGAGAGUGAAAAAAACCUAGCUCAGUUACAACAUUGACGAUAGCAUCAUUGCAGGUGAAUGAAUGUGAAACUGGAUCUGCUAUGCAUUUGGAAACCGGUGACAUGUAUCAGAGUGUCGGGCCACGACACCUGCGUCUUCUGUUUUACCGUUCUCAGAUAUCUUACUACGUUAAAGCUGGUCUCAUCGACAAUGCCAUCAAGGUGUUCGACGAAAUGACUCAAUCAAAUUGCCGCCUCUUCAGCAUCGACUACAACCGCUUCAUCGGCGUCCUCAUCCGCCACUCCCACCUCCACCUCGCCCACCACUACUACCACCGCCACGUCCUCCCCAACGGCUUCUCCCUCCUCCCCUUCACCUACUCCCGCUUCAUCUCCGCCCUCUGCGCCGUCAAGGACUUCACCUCCAUCGAUACCCUUCUCCAACACAUGGACUCCCUCGGCUUCGUCCCUGAUAUCUGGGCCUUCAACAUCUACCUCACACUACUCUGCCGCGAGAAUCGCUUGGAAACCGCCCUGCAGCUGUUUCGUACCAUGCCGUUGAAAGGAAGAGAGCUUGAUGUUGCGUCCUACACUAUCAUCAUUGAUGCUUUGUGCAAGUCUAAACGGUUUCACGAGGCUACUGUGGUUUGGCGUGGUUUGAUUGAGAAGGGGUUGGUUCCUGAUUGUAAGGCUUGUGCUGCCAUUGUUAUUGGGUUGUGCGGCGGUGGCAAUGUUGAUUUGGCGUAUGAGCUUACCGUUGGUGUGAUCAAAAGUGGGGUGAAGGUUAGUAGUUUGGUUUAUAAUGCUUUGAUUAGUGGGUUUUGUAGGAUGGGGAGGAAUGAUAAGGCGCUGGCGAUUAAGAAGUUUAUGAGCAUGAAUGGGUGUGCGCCGGAUUUGGUUACUUAUAACAUUUUGUUGAAUUUUUGUUGUGAUAAAGUUAUGCUGGAUGAGGCAGAGAGGUUGGUGGAGACUAUGGAGAGAAGUGGGUUGGAGCCGGAUUUGUAUAGUUAUAAUCAGUUGUUAAAAGGUUACUGUAAGGAUAAUAAGGUGGAUAGGGCUUAUCGGAUAAUGGUGGAGAGGAUGCAGACCAAAGGGGUGAGUGAUGUUGUUUCUUACAACACUAUUAUCACGGCAUUGUGUCAGGCGCGCCGGACUAGGAGGGCUUAUGAUUUGUUUGAGGAGAUGUACAGGAAAGGGAUUGAACCGGAUGUGGUGACGUUCACAAUCCUUAUAGAAGCGUUUUUAAGAGAAGGUAGUUCCGAUGUUGCCAAGAAGCUUCUUGAUCAAAUGGAAAGGAUAGGGCUUCAGCCUGAUCAAAUAUUCUAUACGACAAUAGUUGAUCAUUCGUGCAGGACUGGGAAGAUUGAUGUGGCUCAUCGUGCUUUUAGGGACAUGUUGAAGAGUGGAAUAAAUCCGGAUGUGGUUUCAUAUAAUGCCCUCAUCAAUGGGUUUUGCAAGGCUUCUAUGGUUGCAGAUGCCAUGCAUCUAUAUGAUGAAAUGCAGAUAAAAGGAUUAUUUCCUGAUGAGGUAACUUUCAAGUUGAUAGUUGGAGGGCUUAUAAGGGAAAAGAAGCUCACAUUGGCCUGCAGAGUUUGGGAUCAGAUGAUGGAAAAAGGUUUUACGCUUGACAGCCGUCUUUCUGAGACUCUAAUCAGAGCCAUUCAAUCAAGUGAUGGAACAUAAAACAUGAUUCUGGCCUGUGUUGUGACUUGUGAUCCUGUCAACACCACCUCACCUUUCUAAAACGUUAUUGCUAGAAACAAAAUACAUGAAAGGUUAGCAAACUAUUUAAGUUUCUUUCUUUGUGCUGGUGGUGGCACCUGCAAAAAUCAAUUUUCCCAUUUUCGUGCUGCUCAUGGUGCAAUCCCUUACCUUUGACUGUCUUUGUGCUCACACGUGGUUUUCCACUGUCUGACAGACUUCCAAUUCGCUGGCCAGCCUCUGGUUAAGGAUCCAUACCAGUGGCAAUUUUGUAAUGGUUUCUUCCUGUCCAUGGAAGUGAUGGUGUGCAUGUUUUGUUUCAUAUUCAAGAGACUAUUCACAUGGUGGAUUGUAUUGACUAUUCCUCAAUACAACCGUGAGUUUAUUUACUUUUGGGCUAUUGUUAUACAUGGAGAGCUCUGGAUCUGUUUCUCACCCAGCGCAACUCACAUCAUUAAAUGAUGAUUUGGUUGAAAUCAAUCCUGCUGCUUAUUUGAUUACAUCCCAGUUGGUGUUUCUUCAAAUUGAAGGUGGUUCUGAGCAAGUCCUGCUCUGUCUCCGUGCUAUUUGAUUACAUCCUUGACUUUUGGCAGCUCAAUUCAGAAUAACUUAUAUCCAGCCUUGCGUAGCAGCAAUAUUGAUACUGAUCAUUUCAUGGUUCUAUUCUAGUAAUAAUAGUAUAGCACCCUUCCUGGAAUAACAGCUCUUAAUAUUAGUAAAUAGAUGUUCUGUUUCACCAGGAUGAAGUUUUUGGUAUUUACUAUGCCUGUGAUGUAUUGCAGAGCAUAAGUUUGAACUGUGGACAUACACAUUCUUUGGUGAUAUCACCUUGGUUUUGUUGAACAAUAAGCUCGGAUUUCCACCACAAGCAUUCUGGAACCUUUAGCAGGAGAUUGGGAGUUUACUAUAUGUGUAUAUGGCUAGAUUUGUAUACUCAACAGAGAAUUUUGGAAAAGAUUAAGAUCCACUAGCAUUAAAUUUCAAGCUUCUCUAAGGACCACCCAAUCCUUUGUCCAAAUUCUCUGGGUACCAAUUCUGGUUUGUUGUCUGAAUUCUACCAAGGAUUCAAGUCCAGAAUUCCAAUUCUUGGAUCUUAACAUUGAACAUGAAGUUCACUAUUAGCAUGGAGGAGCAAGCACUCAUUUACUGAAUGCUUGGGUAAACUUUCAGGUUUCUGGAUUCAGAUCAUUACUUUCUGACAGCUGUUUCAGGUUGGGGUGGAGGGUAUGAGGGAAGUAAGCGUUAAAAAGAGAGGACAUGGAGAAUCACUAUAUCAGAACCGUUGUCUCACCUGCAUUUGGUGCUCGUUAAACAUGACCAGAUCUUGGACUUGCAGAAUGCAGUAAAUAGAAGACAACUAAAGAAGAACUUGGCUUUAGCUUCUCUAUUUGCCUUACUUAGUGGAUAAGGCUUUUAUUAUUGCUGUUGUUGAAAAUAACGUUUUUUUUGAAUAUGAAUGAAUGUUCAUUCAUAACUCGACGGGUUCUUCUGUCCUAUCUGGUGUUUUAAACUUUUGAAGGUGCUCGAACUUGCAAUUCAUAGGUUUGUGGUCCACAUACUUUAGACCAAAGCAAGGGGAAGGUAUCUUGUGCUGUUAGUCUUGUUUGCAUGUAAAUUAUUGUGGAAGAAUCAUGAAGUGUUCGAGUGUUUUCUC